rnacentral:rRNA from 1 species
CAGCAGCCACGGUAAUACAGAGGGUGCGAGCGUUAAUCGGAUUUACUGGGCGUAAAGCGUGCGUAGGCGGCUUCUUAAGUCGGAUGUGAAAUCCCUGAGCUUAACUUAGGAAUUGCAUUCGAUACUGGGAAGCUAGAGUAUGGGAGAGGAUGGUAGAAUUCCAGGUGUAGCGGUGAAAUGCGUAGAGAUCUGGAGGAAUACCGAUGGCGAAGGCAGCCAUCUGGCCUAAUACUGACGCUGAGGUACGAAAGCAUGGGGAGCAAACAGGAUUAGAUACCCGAGUAGUCCCUGUCUCUUAUAC